UGCAGAAUCCCGUGAACCAUCGAGUCUUUGAACGCAAGUUGCGCCCCAAGCCUUCUGGCCGAGGGCACGUCUGCCUGGGUGUCACAAAUCGUCGUCCCCCUCUUCAUCCAUUGCGGAGAUGGGACGGAAACUGGUCUCCCGUGUGUUACCGCACGCGGUUGGCCAAAAUUCAAGCCAAGGAUGCUGGGAGCGUCCCGACAUGCGGUGGUGAACUCAAAACCUUCAUACCGUCGAUCGCUCCUGUCCGAAAGCUCUAGAUGACCCAAAGUCUUAAAAGCGACCCCAGGUCAGGCGGGAUCACCCGCUGAGUU
rnacentral:misc_RNA from 1 species